rnacentral:lncRNA from 1 species
CCCUAACCAGCCAACACAGCCUCUGGGAGCUCACAGCCAAUGACUGACUGAUACAAGGCUGACCAGGUUGUCUCAAGGGGCAGGACAACUUUGCCUCCAGUGUAUGCCCCUGAGCUCCUCUGAGGAUCAAUUCAAGAUAGUGCACAACACGGGCCAAUGAACACAGAAUUCUGGUGGACCUACUAUGCCUGGGAUUUCAGUGAGACUCAAAGUGAGUGCAAGUCACCAUCAUAAAGAUUCAAUAUUCAAGACCACGAAGAAGAACCCAGACCAGGGAUUGCUUCAUUUGGAUUCCACCUACCGCAGUUGUUACAUCUAAGUAGGGACAACGAAAAUCUCCUGCUAUGGUCUUGAUCCUAGUCAGUAAAAGAGCAAAUUCCAAGCCUCCUAAGGGGCAUUUUCAUCCUUCCCCAUCUGUCCUUACAGAUAAGGAAGAGAUUCCAGGAAUGACUCGGUUCCUGGAACCUAGAAUUAGUCCCCCUUGUUUUCUUUAUCUAUCCAAAUCCUGUCUUAGGGAUCAACUUUCACAAGCUUUCUCUCCUUAAAGACUUUCACCUCGAAUUACCUUUUUUUUUUGUCAUAUUCCUAUUCCUAUCUGGAGUCACACUCUUGAGAACCUUCUAUACUUUCGUCAUGCAUUUAUUAGCAGAUAUCUAUAAAGUUCCUACAGUGUGUCAGGCACUGUGCUAGGCGCUAGUGCAACAAUGAUGAAUGCUAUACACAUCCACCUCACCCUUUUAUAGUUUAUAGUAUCAUGGGGAGAUGGAGAAGUAGAUGCUCAAUAAACACAUUUUGUCUGAUGGGUAUACCUUGAAACAGCAAAAGUAAAGUCUGUUUCAUCAUAAUUUGAUCCGUUCACAUUUAUGGGCCAGAUCCUGUGGUAGACCUGGGAUACAAAGAUGAACUAAACAGAGACUCUGCUCUCAAGAGUUUAUAUAAUCUGCAUUUGCAGGUUAUAAUAAACUCUGAUCUGCAUCUUUGGGCAAAAGCAUUCUUUUCUAGGUAUCUUAACCACGAUCUCAAGUAUGUGCUCUGUGUGUUUACUGACAUAUCAUCAAACACAGUCUGUAGGGAAAGUAAAUGAAAUACGAACCAAAGGCGCCAGUCCUUGGAGUGUUGUGGCUUCCUCUGCCUCGUAGAGAUAGAAAUUCAAAGGAGCAAAGAAGUAGCCAGGGGCUGGUUCAGAGCAGCUACGGCCAGUGACAUGUGGGCGGCAUUCACACUGCCCAUUCUUGGGUGAGCACCUGAGGAAAAAGCAAUUCAUCAUGAAAAAAUGCAAAGUAGGUGAGCGGAAAAUGAAGGUGUAGGGGUGCUGGGCUAAUGCUCCCUGAGUUUGGAGCAAUCCUUAGAAUCAGUCAAUCAAUGGUCCUGUGGGAAGAUGCAGAAAGGCCAUGGGUUUAACAUAACUGGUCUUGAAUAGUGAAUCCAGGGCCAUGGAGCCCAGGCGGCCACUUUCCCCACCCUCCGCCCCCAACCCCCCACUGCCAGGUUCUGCUCUAAAAUCUGGCAAAAAGGGGGCUUUAGGAUCUCUCUUUACAACAUGGCAAAAAGCUGGUGUUUUAGGCAGGUCACACGUAUUCAAGCACCCAUGCCACCAGCUUGUGGUGGGAUACCCAGCAGAAGGAUUGUUUACCUCACCCUUGGAAAUAUUUGAAGUGAAAGAAAUCAAUGGGCUGUAGUUAAUGUCUCAAGAUCAUUGCUUGUCAUGGAAUGAAAUUUUUCACCUAUGACUAUGAGCGUAUCAGAAUAAAAUGUGCUUUUAUGUUUAAAUAAGGAAUAUUGCUAUAAAACUUAUUUGACUUACACGUUAGAAUAAGCACCUCCAAUAUCACAGUCACAGGGAGAACACCCAUGGAGAUGAUUUCCCAGGCCCCAGUAUCCAACCUACAGAGAAAAAAUGCUCAGCUGAUUCCAGCUAUGAAGAUGCUGUUGCUCUGAAGUGCAACACUGAAAUCACUACAAUGCAAUUGCCACACGUCAAAUAGCCAAACAGCCUGCACCAUCUCAGAGAAACCUUCCUGGCCUAUGCGCUUGGCUAAUGAUCUUCCAUGGACACAUCUCCCAUCUCCAGGAUUUGA